rnacentral:lncRNA from 1 species
AGGAUCAGACGGUUACGCCUAUAUAACAUUGACAGCUAUGGCCAGAUAGCAUUGACAGCUAUGGCCAGUUGGCGCCUGUCUUUUGAUCUGAGUCCGAUCAAUUUGUUUUCGAGGAGAGAUCAGAAAGUAUGGUGUGUUGACUAAGAGUUGGGACUGAUAGUUUUUCGAUCAAGGGUUGGAUUAAACCUUUUUCGUCCAAAGAUUCGGAUCAAAAAUUAUAUCGAUGAGAUAUCGGACAAAAUAACCUCCGUUCGAGAGUCGGAAUAGAUACUUGCUGAUCAA